rnacentral:rRNA from 1 species
CUUUUAUUGAGAGUUUGAUCCUGGCUCAGGAUGAACGCUGGCGGCGUGCCUAACACAUGCAAGUCGAACGAAGCACCUGAAUGGAUUCCUCCGGGA